GCCCGGCUGGCGCAAUGGUUAGCGCAUAUGACUUCUACAAGAGGUUAUCAUAAGGUUGUGGGGUUCGUGAUUAGUGUCUCAUGACUACAUCUUCACUUGUUAACUUCUUGAUAGUUCGAGUCCCACGUCGGGUU